rnacentral:rRNA from 1 species
AGUGAACGCUGGCGGUAGGCCUAACACAUGCAAGUCGAACGGCAGCACAGUAAGAGCUUGCUCUUACGGGUGGCGAGUGGCGGACGGGUGAGGAAUACAUCGGAAUCUACUUUUUCGUGGGGGAUAACGUAGGGAAACUUACGCUAAUACCGCAUACGACCUACGGGUGAAGGCAGGGGAUCUUCGGACCUUGCGCGAUUGAAUGAGCCGAUGUCGGAUUAGCUAGUUGGCGGGGUAAAGGCCCACCAAGGCGACGAUCCGUAGCUGGUCUGAGAGGAUGAUAGGCCAACUUGGACCUAGGACAGGGUCCAGCCCCCAAGGGGAGGAGGAGUGGGGAAAUAUGGGAAAUGGGCGCAAACCCUGUCCAGCCCUACCGGCGUGGGUGAGGAAGGCUUCCGGGUUGUAAAGCCUUUUUGUUGGGAAGAAAAACAACAGGUUUAAUCCCCGGUUGUCUUGCGGUACCCAAAAAAAUAAGACCGGCUAACUUCGGG